rnacentral:lncRNA from 1 species
CUCUCGGAUAACGGGGCAGGCCGGUGGCCCACGCAGCCCACCAGCUUGCAGGGAGGGCAGACCCUGGGGGAUGUGAGGGAGGCUUUCUCACGCAGACCCUAAAACGGUGAGCGCCAGGGAGCCCCGCCUGCUUGUCCCCUCCCCAGAUCCCUCGGGCUCUGGAGACCUUGCGGGCCCCCUGUCCGUGACCACCUGAAACAGGUCCUGGAGCUGCUACUGCUGGCUUAGGCUGGUUGGUGGAAAGGAUCCAGGGCUGUUGUGAAGGCCUUGGGGAGUCCAGAAGCCGCCUGGCACCUUCUGGGUCCAGACGCUGCCCUUCAGCCCUGCCAUUUCAGCCAGCCUCAGCGUCGCUGUAGAGGCAGGCCGCCCUUUCUGCCACUGUCUGGCUGGUAAGUCCAGGCUCAUAGCCGGGUCAUGCAUUCCCCACUCAUUGGGUACUGGUUUUCGGGCAGUCUUGGGGUGGGGACGCUGGCAGGGUCCGGGUACAGGGCCAUGUGUUGGGCAACCCAGUCCUUUCCAAAGCCGGGGCUAGAAUGCUGGCCCUCCACACAGUCGGUAAAGGUGGGGCUGAGAGUCGACCCCAUGUUGGGGUCAAAGGGCCAGUUCCACUCCCCCGCUCCUCCCAUCAAUCAGAC